GGGUUGUGAGGUUAAGCGACUAAGCGUACACGGUGGAUGCCCUGGCAGUCAGAGGCGAUGAAGGGCGUGCUAAUCUGCGAUAAGCGCCGGUAAGGUGAUAUGAACCGUUAUAACCGGCGAUACCCGAAUGGGGAAACCCAGUGUGAUUCGUCACACUAUCAUUAACUGAAUCCAUAGGUUAAUGAGGCGAACCGGGGGAACUGAAACAUCUAAGUACCCCGAGGAAAAGAAAUCAACCGAGAUUCCCCCAGUAGCGGCGAGCGAACGGGGAGGAGCCCAGAGCCUGAAUCAGCAUGUGUGUUAGUGGAAGCGUCUGGAAAGGCGCGCGAUACAGGGUGACAGCCCCGUACACAAAAGCGCAUGUGCUGUGAGCUCGAUGAGUAGGGCGGGACACGUGGUAUCCUGUCUGAAUAUGGGGGGACCAUCCUCCAAGGCUAAAUACUCCUGACUGACCGAUAGUGAACCAGUACCGUGAGGGAAAGGCGAAAAGAACCCCGGCGAGGGGAGUGAAAAAGAACCUGAAACCGUGUACGUACAAGCAGUGGGAGCACCCUUUUGGGUGUGACUGCGUACCUUUUGUAUAAUGGGUCAGCGACUUAUAUUCUGUAGCAAGGUUAACCGUAUAGGGGAGCCGGAGGGAAACCGAGUCUUAAUUGGGCGUUAAGUUGCAGGGUAUAGACCCGAAACCCGGUGAUCUAGCCAUGGGCAGGUUGAAGGUUGGGUAACACUAACUGGAGGACCGAACCGACUAAUGUUGAAAAAUUAGCGGAUGACCUGUGGCUGGGGGUGAAAGGCCAAUCAAACCGGGAGAUAGCUGGUUCUCCCCGAAAGCUAUUUAGGUAGCGCCUCGUGAAUUCAUCUCCGGGGGUAGAGCACUGUUUCGGCUAGGGGGCCAUCCCGGCUUACCAACCCGAUGCAAACUGCGAAUACCGGAGAAUGUUAUCACGGGAGACACACGGCGGGUGCUAACGUCCGUCGUGAAGAGGGAAACAACCCAGACCGCCAGCUAAGGUCCCAAAGUCAUGGUUAAGUGGGAAACGAUGUGGGAAGGCCCAGACAGCCAGGAUGUUGGCUUAGAAGCAGCCAUCAUUUAAAGAAAGCGUAAUAGCUCACUGGUCGAGUCGGCCUGCGCGGAAGAUGUAACGGGGCUAAACCAUGCACCGAAGCUGCGGCAGCGACGUUUAUGCGUUGUUGGGUAGGGGAGCGUUCUGUAAGCCUGCGAAGGUGGCCUGUGAGGGUUGCUGGAGGUAUCAGAAGUGCGAAUGCUGACAUAAGUAACGAUAAAGCGGGUGAAAAGCCCGCUCGCCGGAAGACCAAGGGUUCCUGUCCAACGUUAAUCGGGGCAGGGUGAGUCGACCCCUAAGGCGAGGCCGAAAGGCGUAGUCGAUGGGAAACGGGUUAAUAUUCCCGUACUUGGUGUUACUGCGAAGGGGGGACGGAGAAGGCUAUGUUGGCCGGGCGACGGUUGUCCCGGUUUAAGCGUGUAGGCUGGUUUUCCAGGCAAAUCCGGAAAAUCAAGGCUGAGGCGUGACGACGAGGCACUACGGUGCUGAAGCAACAAAUGCCCUGCUUCCAGGAAAAGCCUCUAAGCAUCAGGUAACAUCAAAUCGUACCCCAAACCGACACAGGUGGUCAGGUAGAGAAUACCAAGGCGCUUGAGAGAACUCGGGUGAAGGAACUAGGCAAAAUGGUGCCGUAACUUCGGGAGAAGGCACGCUGACACGUAGGUGAAGUGAUUUACUCAUGGAGCUGAAGUCAGUCGAAGAUACCAGCUGGCUGCAACUGUUUAUUAAAAACACAGCACUGUGCAAACACGAAAGUGGACGUAUACGGUGUGACGCCUGCCCGGUGCCGGAAGGUUAAUUGAUGGGGUCAGCGCAAGCGAAGCUCCUGAUCGAAGCCCCGGUAAACGGCGGCCGUAACUAUAACGGUCCUAAGGUAGCGAAAUUCCUUGUCGGGUAAGUUCCGACCUGCACGAAUGGCGUAAUGAUGGCCAGGCUGUCUCCACCCGAGACUCAGUGAAAUUGAACUCGCUGUGAAGAUGCAGUGUACCCGCGGCAAGACGGAAAGACCCCGUGAACCUUUACUAUAGCUUGACACUGAACAUUGAGCCUUGAUGUGUAGGAUAGGUGGGAGGCUUUGAAGUGUGGACGCCAGUCUGCAUGGAGCCGACCUUGAAAUACCACCCUUUAAUGUUUGAUGUUCUAACGUGGACCCGUAAUCCGGGUUGCGGACAGUGUCUGGUGGGUAGUUUGACUGGGGCGGUCUCCUCCUAAAGAGUAACGGAGGAGCACGAAGGUUGGCUAAUCCUGGUCGGACAUCAGGAGGUUAGUGCAAUGGCAUAAGCCAGCUUGACUGCGAGCGUGACGGCGCGAGCAGGUGCGAAAGCAGGUCAUAGUGAUCCGGUGGUUCUGAAUGGAAGGGCCAUCGCUCAACGGAUAAAAGGUACUCCGGGGAUAACAGGCUGAUACCGCCCAAGAGUUCAUAUCGACGGCGGUGUUUGGCACCUCGAUGUCGGCUCAUCACAUCCUGGGGCUGAAGUAGGUCCCAAGGGUAUGGCUGUUCGCCAUUUAAAGUGGUACGCGAGCUGGGUUUAGAACGUCGUGAGACAGUUCGGUCCCUAUCUGCCGUGGGCGCUGGAGAACUGAGGGGGGCUGCUCCUAGUACGAGAGGACCGGAGUGGACGCAUCACUGGUGUUCGGGUUGUCAUGCCAAUGGCACUGCCCGGUAGCUAAAUGCGGAAGAGAUAAGUGCUGAAAGCAUCUAAGCACGAAACUUGCCCCGAGAUGAGUUCUCCCUGAGACUUAGAGUCUCCUGAAGGAACGUUGAAGACGACGACGUUGAUAGGCCGGGUGUGUAAGCGCAGCGAUGCGUUGAGCUAACCGGUACUAAUGAACCGUGAGGCUUAACCUUACAACGCCGAAG
rnacentral:rRNA from 1 species